ensembl:processed_transcript
ACGCAGCACGCAUCCAGAGCAACGACACCGUUGCUCAUACCUGUACUGGACCAGUUUUGGAGUUCUGUGGAGUUUUUGAGGGCUUUAUACAACGUGCAACACAUAGAGAUGUCAGAAGCAUAAAUGACAUGAUGGCCAGGAGAUAUAGCUGGGGAAGAAUGGAAGUGGUUGUCCAGAGCCCAGAUGUGCAAAAAUUAAAGAAAGAUGGCCUGCCCAGAUAAAUGAAGAAUUCCAAAGGUGUACUGGUGUUCCACAAGAAUCAGUUUUUAUGUCCCAGCUGGACAAAUACACUCAAAAACUUCUUGACCUGUUUAGUGCGAAGGGUGCAGCGACUGGUCAACGCAUCAAUUGGAGUUAUUGGAACUGAAACAGGAUCCAAGUACCUCUGUGGUGAGGAAGAGAGACGUGGCUCUGAGAUGCCUCAUUGAAUACAUGGGAGAGAGUGGGCAAGAGCUGAUCUCUGACUACUAUGUAAAAACAGAGAGCAGUGUCUAUGAAGACUUGAAAAUGCGCAAUCUGCAGAUAUAUGUCUGCCGUGUACCAGAUGUAGUGGACAUCAUCAUUGAGGGCAUCCCUGUGCUGUCUUGGAAACCAGGCCAGGGCUCUGAACCUCCAGUAUCCACCACAACUCAGCAAAACAUUUAAGGUGUUUCAAAGACUUUUUGUGGGACUUGACACUGCGACUUGACACUGCGUCCAAAGUCUUCCUCCCGAUUCAUGACACAAAAACUUCUGAGUUAGUAAAUUAGUUGAGGUUCUGUUUCUUUGCUUCAUCACUUUUGUUCAAUGGACAGUUUUACUUGGAACAAUGUGGUAGUUACGCACAGACUUCUUCAGUUCCUGGAUAAGUCUGCAGCAAAUAUGGGCAUUUUGAUUUGCUUUUGUAUAUAUGGGCAAAGUUUGUUUUGUUAUGUCAAAUGCUGAGAUCAGAGGCACUUUAUUUUAUUUUAAUGUUGUAGUACAUAUGAAAAUGU